CAUCGAAGAAAGCCCUCGGCUUCGAUCCAAGAAGGAUCGAAGCCGAGGGCUUAUUCCCGCAGCUU
rnacentral:sRNA from 1 species